GAGACACUCUUUCUGGCGGUAUUUCUAGUCCGCCAUCUUGAUCCUGACUCUUACUAUGUUUAUUGACCAUUUAGAGUUCCUUAAUGAAGUGUUUGCUUAAGAUUUUGGCCCAUUUUUCUAUUCUUUUGUCUUUUUCUUAUUUUUUUGUAUAUUCUGGAGACAAAUUCUUUGUAAGUUAUCUGAGUUGCAAAUUUCUUCUUCAACUCUUUGGCAUGCCUGAGUCUUUUGGUGAAUAGAAAUCCUUAAUUAAAAAUUUAAAAUAGGAAGAGACGCGGAGCGGGCCGAGUGCGGCCGAGCAAAGCCGGAGCCGGAGCGGGGCCGCAGGAGCUGGGCCGGGUCCGGACGGGCCGAGAUGCCCUAUAAACUGAAGAAGGAGGAGGAGCCCCCCAAGCUUGCCAAAGGCACGGCCAAGCCCAGCAGCUCAGGCAAGGAUGGUGGAGGCGAGAACACCGAGGAGGCCCAGCCACAAGCCCAACCCCAGGCUCAGCCGCAGCCACCAUCAUCCAACAAGCGUCCCAGCAAUAGCACGCCACCCCCUACACAGCUCAGCAAAUUCAAGUACUCAGGGGGGCCUCAGAUUGUCAAGAAGGAGCGACGGCAAAGCUCCUCCCGCUUCAACCUCAGCAAGAACCGGGAGCUGCAGAAGCUUCCUGCCCUGAAAGAUUCGCCAACUCAGGAGCGGGAGGAGCUGUUUAUCCAGAAGCUACGCCAGUGCUGUGUCCUCUUUGACUUCGUGUCAGACCCACUCAGUGACCUCAAAUUUAAGGAGGUGAAACGGGCAGGACUCAACGAGAUGGUGGAGUACAUCACCCACAGCCGUGAUGUCGUCACCGAGGCCAUUUACCCUGAGGCUGUCACCAUGUUUUCAGUGAACCUUUUCCAGACGCUGCCACCUUCAUCAAAUCCCACAGGGGCCGAAUUUGACCCAGAGGAAGAUGAGCCCACCCUCGAAGCUGCCUGGCCACACCUCCAGCUCGUGUAUGAGUUUUUCUUACGUUUCCUUGAGUCUCCUGAUUUCCAGCCAAACAUAGCGAAGAAGUACAUUGACCAGAAGUUUGUCCUUGCUCUCCUAGACUUAUUUGACAGUGAGGAUCCUAGAGAGCGGGACUUCCUCAAGACCAUUUUACAUCGCAUCUAUGGCAAGUUUUUGGGGCUCCGGGCUUAUAUUCGUAGGCAGAUCAACCACAUCUUCUACAGGUUUAUCUACGAGACCGAGCAUCACAAUGGGAUUGCUGAGCUCCUGGAGAUCCUUGGCAGCAUCAUCAAUGGCUUUGCCCUGCCCCUUAAGGAAGAGCACAAGAUGUUCCUUAUUCGUGUCCUGCUUCCCCUUCACAAGGUCAAGUCCCUUAGUGUCUACCACCCUCAGUUGGCAUACUGUGUGGUACAGUUCCUGGAGAAGGAGAGCAGUCUGACUGAGCCGGUGAUUGUGGGACUUCUCAAGUUUUGGCCCAAGACCCACAGCCCUAAGGAGGUGAUGUUCUUGAAUGAACUAGAGGAGAUUCUGGACGUCAUUGAACCUUCAGAGUUCAGCAAAGUCAUGGAACCACUCUUCCGCCAGCUUGCCAAAUGUGUCUCCAGCCCCCAUUUCCAGGUGGCAGAGCGUGCUAUUACUGGAACAAUGAGUAUAUCAUGAGCCUGAUAAGCUGCCCGAGUCCUCCCCAUCAUGUUCCCUGCACUCUACAGGAACUCCAAGAGUCACUGGAACAAGACAAUCCAUGGAUUGAUCUAUAAUGCCCUGAAGCUGUUUAUGGAAAUGAAUCAGAAGCUGUUUGAUGACUGCACACAACAAUAUAAGGCAGAGAAGCAGAAAGGCCGGUUCUGAAUGAAGGAAAGGGAAGAGAUGUGGCAAAAAAUCGAGGAGCUUGCCCGGCUUAAUCCCCAGUAUCCCAUGUUCCGAGCUCCUCCACCACUGCCCCCUGUGUACUCGAUGGAGACAGAGACCCCCACAGCAGAGGACAUCCAGCUUCUGAAGAGGACGGUGGAGACUGAGGCUGUGCAGAUGCUAAAGGACAUCAAGAAGGAGAAAGUGCUACUGCGGAGGAAGUCAGAGCUGCCCCAGGAUGUGUACACCAUCAAGGCACUGGAGGCACACAAGCGGGCGGAAGAGUUCCUAACUGCCAGCCAGGAGGCUCUCUGACCCCCACACUUUCCCACCACAGGGCCACAGCCCACUCAGCCCUGGGACGCUGCCCUAGUCCUCCACUUUCGGUUCCCUACUGGCUGCCUUGGGGCAAGGCAGCGCCUCUGUAGCUACUCUGUGGAGGGGAUAUGGGCACUUGAAGCAGGGACACCAACAGAGUAGUCCCUCUUCUCCCCAAAAUGUGUUCAUGCCUCCCUGUGGCUAGUACAGAGAGGUUGAGCACUCAGAUGCUCAGUGCUCAGACAACCUGGGGAUGGCUGUGCCCCUCCUGUUCCUAACCCCACAGCUACUUGAGGCUACUCUGAGAAAUACACAAACAGGAAUACAAAAAAAAAAAAAAAAUUUAAAAUAAUUUAUCAGUCUUUUCUUGAUAGUUUUCAAUUCUUAUAACU